rnacentral:lncRNA from 10 species
CUGGGGUGCAGUGGCGUGAUCUUGGCUUGCUGCAACCUCCACCUCCCAGGUUCAAGUGAUUCCCCUGCCUCAGCCUCCCAAGUAGCUGGGACUACGGGCACACACCACCACACCCAGCUAGGUUUUUGUAUUUUAGUAGAGACAGGGUUUCACCAUGUUAGCCAGGAUGGUCUUGAUCUCCUGACCUCGUGAUCCACCCGCCUUGGCCUCCCAAAGUGCUGGGAUUACAGGCGUGAGCCACCGUGCCCAGCCCUGAAGAAUUAUAUUUUAUAAAUUGGUAGGUAGCUUCCACAAAAGGCAUGUAGAGAUUUGGAAGAAAACUGUUUAUACAAAGCUAAAACUCAAAUGUACAAACAUAGUAUUCCAUAAGCCAUUCAUUUGCAAUGCUCUGCACUUCUGAGGUUUGCUGUGCAAAAACUGUGCAAUAUUUUCCUGAUCUCUACUUAUUUCGUACUAUCCAGACCAACAACAGUGGUUCAGCAUGGUGAAUUCUCCAGAAAGAGGGAUCUACAACACUGAGUCUUGUCAAGCCUUCAGUAGGGGAGCAACACAGGUGAAUUAAUAAGGCCAAGGAGACACGUUUAAAGAAAAGGGAAGAGAAGGGGAGCUAUUUGCCCAGAAAACAGUGAUUUGAAGAAAACCAGUCUGGAAGUGUAUGAUGAGGGUACAUUUUAUAAAAGAUUACAGCAGCUGCUUUGCCUUGCCAUGAAAUAAACAAAUAAGAAUUAAUUUUUAGAAGCGGUUAUAAUAACUUUAAAUGAGGAGUGUUGCUACCUAUAAUUGAUUGUAAGGGGAAUUGGGCUUUUAAAUAUAAUACUGGGUUAAGUACACAUUCUUCUGAGACCCUGUCAGCAGAAUGCUGAUGUUUGUAAUUGGAAAAGAGAAUGUCUCUUAAGGAUCUCUUUAACUAGUCAGCCUAAAACACAGAUUCUCAUCCUCAACUAGAAUGCUAUUCCUAUUCACAAAAACCUGGGGAACAUGAUCACAUUAAUGCCCAAGAGAUUUAUAGCAAGAAUAAGAGCAAAAGAAAAUCUAUGUAUUUUUGAAGACAUGGACUUCCCUAGUGGAUAUGUUUUCAGAUUCUAAGAGUUAGAGGUAAAAAUAAAUUUUUAAAGUUUAUUUUUUUAAAGUUACUUUAUUAUUUGUAUCUACUUUGGUAAAAUUCCAAAAUAAGACAGUGAUUUCUACUGUUUUGGUUAACUUUUGCCUUCCUCAUACUCUCUGUGAGUAUUCUAAAUUUGAGACUGUUGGUGAUAAAUCAAUUUCCUGAGAACACUUUAGCUAAUAUUAAAACUUAAUAUAUAUGGUUAUUAUUUUUAAAGUUUACUUUUUUCAUGUUUACAUUGUAAAAAAUAAAUGACUGAAAUUUAGGUAACAUGAGGAGAGCAAUAUUCUGAAAAAUGAGGUGAAGUACCAAUUUAAUGUUUAGAUAAGGACCAAAAUUUCUUUAGAAUAACUUUUAUUUAAAGACAUAUCAAAUUUAAGACAUUAUUAUGACAUUGUCAAUUUGAAUAAGAUUGGUUUUUAAUCUAUGGCUAGAGAAAAUUUAUAAAAGAGCCAACAGUCUCUAGUUUGUAGUUUUAUCCAAUUUUACUUUUCAUUCCUUUCGAGGGUAAUUUCAUUACAUUCUAUCCAGCAAACAGGAGAUGGCAGCAUUACUUCAGCCGUUCAAAAAGACACUCAAUCCCUUCUGAAAAGAGAAGGCUGGGAGCUGAUGGAGAGUAGAGAUUUAGCAGCAGGUGCUACAAUGUACAUAGAACAGAGGAAUGUAUGUUUCCUAUGUAGGGUACAUAGGAAACAAAUGUGAAAUAAAACUGUUUAAUGCCUCUGAAUGCUGCAGAUUUUUACGCAUAUUUUCCAGUGUAACAGGCCCUUCCCCUGUAAAAGUGAAAUGGGUCAGAUGUUGAGAUUUUUAUGGGAUUUAGAAAGCUGUGCAUGCAUAACAAAGAGCUUGGCUCUACAGCUGUAGGAUUUUUAAUCUCUGUUUUUUUAUGGAGUAGUAAUUUUCUAAGAACACUAGACACUCAUUUUCUUUAUUUCUUCUCAAAUUUCUAAGCAUACAUUAAUAAUAAUAUGGAACUUGGGUCUCAGGUCAAAAAAAUACAUACAUGAUCCAAACUACUGAUAUCUGCUACAACUGUUAAUGCAGGAGAUAAAAUAUUAGAUUGGUAAAUCCAUGGACCUCAAGGCCUCAGCUCGUUUUUCAUGUCAAUUGGAUACCUCUCCUUGAGGAAGCAACUUCUAAGGAACACAGAUCUGUAAUAUACAAACUGGGUUUAUUUUGUUGAAUUUUUUUAUAUAUCU